GUCAAGUGCAGAAGUAGAAUAUCGGGCUAUAGCUUCAGCAACAUGUGAACUUAUCUGGUUAAGGCAACUCCUUCAAAAAUUGAAGUAUGGGGAGGUUAAACAAAUGAAAUUGAUAUGUGACAAUCAAGCUGCCCUACAUAUCGCCUCUAAUCUAGUUUUCAACGAAAGAACUAAACAUAUUGAGGUGGAUUGUCACUUUAUCAAAUAGAAGAUUGAGUCUGGAUAUAUUAUCACCAGUUUUGUCAAUUCAAAUGAUCAAUUGGCAGAUGUCCUAACUAAAUUUCUUAGGGUCCUCGAAUUGAAUACAUUUGU
rnacentral:misc_RNA from 1 species